rnacentral:rRNA from 1 species
CCUACGGGGUGCAGCAGUGAGGAAUAUUGGUCAAUGGGCGCGAGCCUGAACCAGCCAAGUAGCGUGAAGGAUGACUGCCCUACGGGUUGUAAACUUCUUUUAUAAAGGAAUAAAGUGAGGCAAGUGUGCCUUUUUGUAUGUACUUUAUGAAUAAGGAUCGGCUAACUCCGUGCCAGCAGCCGCGGUAAUACGGAGGAUCCGAGCGUUAUCCGGAUUUAUUGGGUGUAAAGGGCGCGUAGAUGGGUUGUUAAGUCAGUUGUGAAAGUUUGCGGCGCAACCGUAAAAUUGCAAUUGAUACUGGCAGGCUUUAGUACAGGUGGGGUAGGCGGAAGUCGUGGUGUAGCGGUGAAAUGCGUAGAUAUCACGAAGAACCCCGAUUGCGAAGGCAGCUUACUAAACUGUGACUGACAUUGAUGCUCGAAAGUGUGGGGAUCAAACAGGAUUAGAUACCCGGGUAGUC